rnacentral:rRNA from 1 species
AUUGAACGCUGGCGGCAUGCCUUACACAUGCAAGUCGAACGGUAACAGGUCUUCGGAUGCUGACGAGUGGCGAACGGGUGAGUAAUACAUCGGAACGUGCCCGAUCGUGGGGGAUAACGGAGCGAAAGCUUUGCUAAUACCGCAUACGAUCUACGGAUGAAAGCAGGGGACCGCAAGGCCUUGCACGGACGGAGCGGCCGAUGGCAGAUUAGGUAGUUGGUGGGAUAAAAGCUUACCAAGCCGACGAUCUGUAGCUGGUCUGAGAGGACGACCAGCCACACUGGGACUGAGACACGGCCCAGACUCCUACGGGAGGCAGCAGUGGGGAAUUUUGGACAAUGGGCGCAAGCCUGAUCCAGCCAUGCCGCGUGCAGGAUGAAGGCCUUCGGGUUGUAAACUGCUUUUGUACGGAACGAAAAGACUCUGGUUAAUACCUGGGGUCCAUGACGGUACCGUAAGAAUAAGCACCGGCUAA